rnacentral:rRNA from 1 species
UGGGAGCUCUCCCAUAUGGUCGACCUGCAGGCGGCCGCGAAUUCACUAGUGAUUAGAGUUUGAUCCUGGCUCAGAGUGAACGCUGGCGGCGUAGAUUAGGCAUGCAAGUCGAGCGAUACUUUUUUCUUGAUAUGGUGAAGCCGCAAGGCUGAUCUGUUGAAGGAAGAAAGAUAUAGCGGCAGACUGGUGAGUAACACGUGAGUAAUUUACCUCUAAGUCGGGGAUAGCCUUGCGAAAGCGAGGGUAAUACCUGAUGUGUUUACAGCUGCAUAAGCAGUUGUAAGUAAAGAAGGCUCGCAAGAGUUUUUGUUUAGAGAUGAGCUCGCGUCCUAUCAGCUAGUUGGUGGGGUAAUGGCCUACCAAGGCUUUUGACGGGUAGCUGGCCUGAGAGGGUGGUCAGCCACAUGGGGACUGAGACACUGCCCCAACUCCUACGGGAGGCUGCAGUCGAGGAUAUUUAGCAAUGGACGAAAGUCUGACUAUGUGACGCCGCGUGAGGGAUGAAGGUCUUCGGAUUGUAAACCUCUUU